GUUAUAGUAUCUUGGGUGACUUUUUUCUGUGCUUUUCUAAGUUUUAUGCAUGGAGUCAUUUUUUUUAAAGAAGGAAAAAAACUUUCAAAGGGCAAGAGAGUCUGAAAGUAGCUUGGAUGAAGAAGCUCAAACAAACAAUGAAUCUGAAGGACAGCAAAAUAAAGAUGAUUAUUUCCACCAACAACCACGAGGGAUGGAAACAGAAGAAAUCAGAAGAAAUCAGAGCACCAGGAAAUAUCUGUGGCACCAACUGGAAAAUGGGGAAAAUAUCCACAUAUCUAUGGAAUCCACAAGCAUGUCCUGUAAGGAGCACACCUACACGCUGGUCCAUAAACCACAGAGAACCUGCUGCUUAUCCUCAGAGGAUUAUCUUGAACACCAAGUGCCCAGGAAGUGCCUGACAAAGUAGCUGAUCAUUGUCUCCAUUCAACAAACAUCACUGGGCACUGACUACCUGCUAGGCACUGUGCACGGCUCUGGGGAUACAACGAUGAAUAAGGAGCUCACAGACCAACAAGUAAACCCACCAUGAAAAUACAGCACUAAAAAUCAGGUGACAAACAACUCUAAAGCCCUCACUGCACUGCAGCCCCAAACACUGAGGCUGUGUUUCUCACUGGGCAGUCCUUGUGCAUCAUGGGCUGUCAGCGUCACAUCAUCCAAUGAACUUGUUAAAAGUACGUAUUCCCAAAUGUGAAUUUAGACCUACAAAAUCAGACCCUCUGAGGCUGGGAACUGGGAAUCUGCGUUUUUAAAAAGAGAGCACCUAAAGUGAUUCUGUUGCCUACUAAAGUUUGAGAACCACCGCAGUAAGGACGGCUGGGAGUGAUGACCCUGUGCCGUGAAGAAUGGGCAUGUUAUGUUCAGUAUCACCUCUGAUUUGCUAGGACAGGAAGCAUGUUGCCAUUUAGGAAAGCCUUCUAUUAAAGUUGGCUCAAAAGCCAGCCCCUGCCCUCUGUGCCUCGGCUCUGCUCUCAUGCCUGGGUCCUUCACCCACCUGUCUCCUCAGCCAGCCCUUACAAGUGGGUUUUGGCCUCAGUUUCCCUGGCUGGCACUCAGGUCCUAAACUGAGAUUGUAAGGACGCUAAUCUGUUUCUCAGGACCUCAGGUUCCCUGCCUGGUUCUCAGUGUCCUUCAGAGAGUGAGACUCUAGUCCCUGCACACCUGGGAGCUGAGUGAGGUUGUAUCUGAAAAGGCAGGUCCCUUGGGACCAAGAUGCCACCACAUGCCAAAUAUUACUUAACUCUGCUCCUUCCAGCUGAGUGUCCUUGGGCAAAUGACCUAACUUCUUUAAGCCAUCAUUUUUAUUCAUCCGUUACAUAGAGGAUAUUAAAAGAAGGGUUGUUAGGAGGAUUCAGUAAGAUGAUGAUUCAGUAAGAUUCAGUAAUAGCUAAAAUUAUGGCCCUUCAGAGAUGUCCACAUCCUAAUUCCCGAAACCUGCUAUGUUGCCUUACAUGGCAGAGGAGACUUUACAGGUAUGAUUAAGUUAAGGAUCUUCAGGUGGGGAGAUUAGCCUGGCUCAUCCAGGUGGGCUCAGUGUAAUCACAACGGUCCUUAUAAGAGGGAGGCAGGACAUCAGAGUCAGAGAUGGAGACGUCAAGACAGAAGCAGAUGUCAGAGUAAUGCCAUUGUCGAAAAGGGGGCCACAAGCCAAGGAAUGCGGGUGGCCUCUAGAAGCUGGAAAAGGCAAGGUAUGAAUUCUCCCCUGCAGCCUCAAGAAAUAAUGCAGGGCUUCCCUGGUGGCGCAGUGGUUGAGAGUCUGCCUGCCGAUGCAGGGGACACGGGUUCGAGCCCUGGUCUGGGAAGAUCCCACAUGCCACGGAGCAACUGGGCCCGUGAGCCACAACUGCUGAGCCUGCGCGUCUGGAGCCUGUACUCCGCAACAAGAGAGGCCACAACAGUGAGAGGCCCGCACAACACGAUGAAGAGUGGCGCCCACUUGCCGCAACUGGAAAAAGCCCUCGCACAGAAAUGAAGACCCAACACAGCCAAAAAUAAUAAAUAAAUAAAUUAAAAAAAAAAAAAAGAAAAAGAAAUAAUGCAGCCCUGCUGACACCUUGAUUUUAGUCCCUUUAGUCCCAUUUCAAACUUCAGACUGUAAGAUAAUAUUAAAUAAGAACUAAUAAAUUUCAGAACUGUAAGAAAAUAAAUUUGUAUUGUUAUAGGCCCCAAAGCUUGUGGUAAUUUGUUUCAGUAGCAGUAAGAAGCUAAUAGAUGAAUGUAAAGCAUUUAGCAGAUCCUGGCACAUAGUAAGCGUUCUCACAAUGUUAUUGUCUGUAUUUUUCUCCCACACUCUUCAGCAGUACAUGGACCAUCACCUUUGGUCAUUACUGCUGGACUGAAUCACUGUGUCCUUUGGUGACUCCUCAGAGAUCAGCCUUAUCACUGUGGCAGUUCCCUCCAACUCCUGUCCCACCAAAACCCUGCUUCCUCCUCCACCCACAGAACUGAGGUCCCAGCCUCGCCGCUGAACCCACCUGAGUUAUAACUAAUUUUUUAAAACUUCAAACGUGAAGGCCUAACCAUGGAGGUAUCUAGAAAAUGCACUCAUCAACAAAUACUUAGGGAUCAUCUAA